UACAGGGGGUGCAAACGUUGCUCGGAAUUCACUGGGCGUAAAGCGCACGUAGGCGGAUCUGCAAGUCGGGGGUGAAAUCCCGAGGCUCAACCUCGGAACUGCCUUCGAUACUGCGGGUCUCGAGUCCGGGAGAGGUGAGUGGAAUUCCUAGUGUAGAGGUGAAAUUCGUAGAUAUUAGGAAGAACACCAGUGGCGAAGGCGGCUCACUGGCCCGGUACUGACGCUGAGGCGGCGAAAAGCGUGGGGAGCAAACAGG
rnacentral:rRNA from 1 species